GGUCUAUCAUGCAGUCGAGCGAGAGAUGGGAGCUUGCUCCCUGAUCUUAGCGGCGGACGGGUGAGUAACACGUGGGCAACCUGCCCUGCAGACUGGGAUAACUCCGGGAAACCGGAGCUAAUACCGGGUAAUACAUCGCACCGCAUGGUGCAAUGUUGAAAGUUGGCUUUCUGAGCUAACACUGCAGGAUGGGCCCGCGGCGCAUUAGCUAGUUGGUAAGGUAAUGGCUUACCAAGGCGACAAUGCGUAGCCGACCUGAGAGGGUGAUCGGCCACACUGGGACUGAAACACGGCCCAAACUCCUACGGGAGGCAGCAGUAGGGAAUCUUCCGCAAUGGACGAAAGUCUGACGGAGCAACGCCGCGUGAGUGACGAAGGCCUUCGGGUCGUAAAGCUCUGUUGUUAGGGAAAAACAAGUACCGUUCGAAUAGGGCGGUACCUUGACGGUACCUAACCAGAAAGCCACGGCUAACUACGUGCCAGCAGCCGCGGUAAUACGUAGGUGGCAAGCGUUGUCCGGAAUUAUUGGGCGUAAAGCGCGCGCAGGCGGUCUUUUAAGUCUGAUGUGAAAGCCCACGGCUCAACCGUGGAGGGUCAUUGGAAACUGGAGGACUUGAGUGCAGAAGAGGAGAGUGGAAUUCCACGUGUAGCGGUGAAAUGCGUAGAUAUGUGGAGGAACACCAGUGGCGAAGGCGGCUCUCUGGUCUGUAACUGACGCUGAGGCGCGAAAGCGUGGGGAGCAAACAGGAUUAGAUACCCUGGUAGUCCACGCCGUAAACGAUGAGUGCUAGGUGUUGGGGGGUUCCACCCUCAGUGCUGAAGUUAACACAUUAAGCACUCGCCUGGGGAGUACGACCGCAGGGUUGAAACUCAAGGAAUUGACGGGGGCCCGCACAGCAGUGAGCAUGUGUUUAUUCGAAGCACGCGAGAUCUAACAAGUCUGACAUCUCUGACAUCUGAGACAGACGUCCUCUGGACGAUGACAGUGUGCAUGCUGUCGUCAGUCGUUCUGAAUGUAGGUAGUCGCACGAGCACCUGACUUAGUGCAGCAUAUUGACCUAUAGUACUGCCGUACAC
rnacentral:rRNA from 1 species